AUUAAGGAAAUGAUGGCACGAGCGGGGAACAGUCAUCUGCUCACUGUCCUGUCAUACCCAAAUGCAGGUCACCUGAUCGAACCGCCCUACACACCACAUGCCAGAUCUAGCACCUUCAAGACCGUUGAAAUAGAACAGAAGGUGAUGUGUCUGUGGGGUGGACAAACGGUGGAACAUUCUCGAGCUCAGGAGGAUGCCUGGAAAAAGAUGGUGGUUUUUCUCAGAGAGAAUCUGUAUGGUGGUAGAAACCCUACCUCAUUUUCUCACCUGUAGUCAAGAUGAUGACAUGAGUUCCAAAGUCAAUCCAAGAUGAAAAUAUUUGCCUAAAGACAUAGUUAGGUGAGACGACAAUGGAAGCUCUUCUGUGGCAAUCCGUAUAUAAUGCAUUGCUAUGAAGAUAUUGAUUAUGACCUUUGGAUUCAGUUUCAAUAUUACUUAUUAAAAAUGUCUUCUUAAUAGAAAUAGUUAACGGGUGUAAUGGCUUUUGUAGUAGGAAGCUGCCACUUCAUAUGAUCAUUAAAUCAUAAACUACUUUUACAGAAAGACAA